rnacentral:rRNA from 1 species
ACGCACGCUGGCGGCGUGCUUCACACCUGCCAGUCGCACGCUGAAGCACCAGCUUGCUGGUGUGGAUGAGUGGCGAACGGGUGAGUAAUACGUGAGUAACCUGCCCUUGACUCUGGGAUAAGCCCGGGAAACUGGGUCUAAUACUGGAUGCUACAUGUCACCGCAUGGUGGUGUGUGGAAAGGGUUUACUGGUCUUGGAUGGGCUCACGGCCUAUCAGCUUGUUGGUGAGGUAAUGGCUCACCAAGGCGACGACGGGUAGCCGGCCUGGGGGGGUGACCGGCCACCCUGGGACUGAGGCACGGCCCAGACUCCUACGGGAGGCAGCAGUGGGGAAUAUUGCACAAGGGGCGAAAGCCUGAUGCAGCGGCGCCGCGUGCGGGAUGACGGCCUUCGGGUUGUAAACCUCUUUCAGCAGGGAAGAAGCCACAAGUGACGGUACCUGCAGAAGAAGCGCCGGCUAACUACGUG